UGAACGCUGGCGGCGUGCCUAAUACAUGCAAGUCGAGCGAACAGAUGAGGAGCUUGCUCCUCUGACGUUAGCGGCGGACGGGUGAGUAACACGUGGAUAACCUACCUAUAAGACUGGGAUAACUUCGGGAAACCGGAGCUAAUACCGGAUAAUAUAUUGAACCGCAUGGUUCAAUAGUGAAAGACGGUUUUGCUGUCACUUAUAGAUGGAUCCGCGCCGCAUUAGCUAGUUGGUAAGGUAACGGCUUACCAAGGCAACGAUGCGUAGCCGACCUGAGAGGGUGAUCGGCCACACUGGCACUGAGACACGGUCCAGACUCCUACGGGAGGCAGCAGUAGGGAAUCUUCCGCAAAGGGCGAAAGCCUGACGGAGCAACGCCGCGUGAGUGAUGAAGGUCUUCGGAUCGUAAAACUCUGUUAUUAGGGAAGAACAAAUGUGUAAGUAACUAUGCACGUCUUGACGGUACCUAAUCAGAAAGCCACGGCUAACUACGUG
rnacentral:rRNA from 1 species